AGCAGUAGCCGCGGUAAAACGUAGGUGGCAAGCGUUGUCCGGAAUUAUUGGGCGUAAAGGGCUCGCAGGCGGUUUCUUAAGUCUGAUGUGAAAGCCCCCGGCUCAACCGGGGAGGGUCAUUGGAAACUGGGAAACUUGAGUGCAGAAGAGGAGAGUGGAAUUCCACGUGUAGCGGUGAAAUGCGUAGAGAUGUGGAGGUACACCAGUGGCGAAGGCGACUCUCUGGUCUGUAACUGACGCUGAGGAGCGAAAGCGUGGGGAGCGAACAGGAUUAGAUACCCCCGUAGUCCCUGUCUCUUAUAC
rnacentral:rRNA from 1 species